rnacentral:lncRNA from 1 species
UUUAAAAGGUGGGGCACUCUUAUCUGCCUGUCCCGAAGGGUUACUAGAAGUGCUCCUCUUCUUAGCAUGAAAGUCUCUAACUUGCAGCCUUGCACUCUCGACUCUCUGUGCUUUUUCUAAAACUUCAGUGAACGUAGAGAUUUGGGCUGCAGCCAAACCCUCCUGGAUUUCUACAUUAAGUCCCUGCACGAACCGUCUAAUCCUCCUCCGUUCAUUAAUCACCAAUUCAGGAGCGUACUUAGAAAGUUUAGUGAACUUUCCCUCGUACUC